rnacentral:lncRNA from 1 species
AUGAAGUUAUGCUAUAAAUACAAGAAUAACUCCUCUGAUGGAAUCUUUUACGAGAUGCUUUUGGAUAACUUAAAAGUUGCUGUUCUUUCUGGUGACUUAAAUGGUAUCAGCUCACAUAUAUCAAAGGAAAAACAACAAAGAGAAGAAAAAAGGCAAACAGAGCUUUCAAAAAGAAUCAAGCAGAUUGAAGAUCAAGCUAACAAAUACGCCCAGAAUAGAACUGUUGAUGAAGUAGUUAAAAGGUUGAAGGACAGAGUGAUACGAGAGGCAGCCACUACUAAAGACAGCUUUUUUUACCUACAACAAGUAUGAGAAAAUUAAUAAAGCUGGCUUGCAGAAGGUAGGAAAAAUGUUA